CAGUCGCCGCGGUAAUACGAAGGGUGCAAGCGUUAAUCGGAAUUACUGGGCGUAAAGCGUGCGUAGGCGGUGAGUUAAGUCUGCUGUGAAAUCCCCGGACUCAACCUGGGAAUGGCAGUGGAUACUGGCUCGCUAGAGUGUGUCAGAGGAUGGUGGAAUUCCCGGUGUAGCGGUGAAAUGCGUAGAGAUCGGGAGGAACAUCAGUGGCGAAGGCGGCCAUCUGGGACAACACUGACGCUGAGGCACGAAAGCGUGGGGAGCAAACAGGAUUAGAUACCCCAGUAGUCCCUGUCUCUUAUAC
rnacentral:rRNA from 1 species